rnacentral:rRNA from 1 species
CCGAGUGGUGAUCACUAUUAUUGGGUCUAAAGGGUCCGUAGCCGGUUUAAUCAGUCUUCUGGGAAAUCUAAUCGCUUAACUAUUAGGCUUCCAGGGGAUACUGUUAGACUUGGGACCGGGAGAGGUAAGAGGUACUGCAGGGGUAGGAGUGAAAUCUUGUAAUCCCUGUGAGACCACCAGUGGCGAAGGCGUCUUACCAGAACGGGUCCGACGGUGAGGGGCGAAAGCUGGGGGCACGAACCGGAUUAGAUACCCGGGUAGUCCCAGCUGUAAACGAUGCUCGUUAGGUGUCAGGAACGGUGCGACUGUUUCUGGUGCCGAAGGGAAGCCGUGAAACGAGCCACCUGGGAAGUACGGCCGCAAGGCUGAAACUUAAAGGAAUUGGCGGGGGAGCACUACAACGGGUGGAGCCUGCGGUUUAAUUGGACUCAACGCCGGAAAACUCACCGGGGGCGACAGCAAUAUGUAGGUCAGGUUAAAGGUCUUACCUGAAUCGCUGAGAGGAGGUGCAUGGCCGUCGUCAGUUCGUACUGUGAAGCAUCCUGUCAAGUCAGGCAACGAGCAAGACCCGUGCCCACUGUUACCAGCAUAUCCUUUAUGGAUGAUGGGGACUCUGUGGGGACCGCUGCUGCUAAAGCAGAGGAAGGUGCGGGCUACGGUAGGUCAGUAUGCCCCGAAUCUCCCGGGCUACACGCGGGCUACAAUGGUUGGGACAAUGGGUAUCUACUCCGAAAGGAGUUGGCAAUCUCUUAAACCCAAUCGUAGUUCGAAUUGAGGGCUGUAACUCGCCCUCAUGAAGCUGGAAUCCGUAGUAAUCGCGUUUCAACAUAGCGCGUG